rnacentral:tRNA from 1 species
GCUGGUGUAGCUCAGUGGUAGAGCGUAUGUUUAGCAAGCAAGAGGCCCUGAAUUCAAUCCUCAGCACCAAAA